rnacentral:rRNA from 1 species
CAGCUAACCCAUUAAGUUAUCCCUGGGGAGUCGCCGCAAGGUUAAAAUCAAAGGAAUUGGGGGCCUCCAACGGUGAGCAUUGUUUAAUUGAAGCAACGCGCAGACCUACCAGCGUUUGACAUUAGGACGACUUCCAGAGAUGGAUUUCUUCCCUUCGGGGACUACACACAGGUUGCAUGCUGUGUCAGCUGUGUGUGAGAUGUUGGGUUAAGUCCCGCACGAGCGCACCCUCGACUUUAGUUCCAUCAUUAAGUUGGGUACUUAAAGUACCCCGGUGAUAAGCCGGAGGAAGGUGGGGAUGACGUCAAGUCCUCAUGCCCUACGCGCUGGGCUACACACGUGCUACAAUGGCAAGUACAGUGGGCAGCAAUCCCGCGAGGGGAGUAAUCUCCAAAACAUUCUCAGUUCGGAUGUCUCACCUGAGCUAGGGGAUGCAUCGUCACAGAGCCCGUAUGACAG